GGGCCAUAUUAUAUAUAUAUAUAUCGUCGAAAUAGAGGGAGAAAUUCCAUAUGUCUGAAAAGGAAAAAAAAAGGUGGUACAUGAUUAAGAAAUUUGCAAAGGCGAUGAUGAUGCCCUAGCAAAGAGGCAAGCUAAGAUGGCCUCAAAAUAUUAAAGAAGGAAAGCUCCUCGUCCUUGCAUGUAAGUGUAUUACAUGUAUAUGUUGUCGCCAUUCCACCAUGAUUUCAUGAGGCGGCAUAUCAAUU
rnacentral:lncRNA from 1 species